AUCAUCUGAAACCUGAAGCUCGAAGUUUCUAAAUCACCAAAGAUGAAGACUCUCGUGGUUUUGGUUUUGAUUGCACUUGUGAUUUCUGUAUCGUGUAGAAAAGGUCCAAAAAUUGAACGUAUACAUGAAAUGAUGUGUAGUAGUAAUCCAGAAGACGUAGCUAAAGCUGAAAGAUUAAUUUCAAAGAUGCCU